AGUGAACGCUGGCGGUAGGCCUAACACAUGCAAGUCGAACGGCAGCACAGUAAGAGCUUGCUCUUACGGGUGGCGAGUGGCGGACGGGUGAGGAAUACAUCGGAAUCUACUUUUUCGUGGGGGAUAACGUAGGGAAACUUACGCUAAUACUGCAUACGACCUACGGGUGAAAGCAGGGGAUCUUCGGCCCUGGCGCAAUUGAAUAAGCCGAUUUCGGAUUAGCUAGUUGGCGGGGUAAAGGCCCACCAAGGCGACGAUCCGUAGCUGGUCUGAGAGGAUGAUCAGCCACUCUGGAACUGAGACACGGUCCAGACUCCUACGGGAGGCAGCAGUGGGGAAUAUUGGACAAUGGGCGCAAGCCUGAUCCAGCCAUACCGCGUGGGUGAAGAAGGCCUUCGGGUUGUAAAGCCCUUUUGUUGGGAAAGAAAAGCAGCAGGUUAAUACCCCGCUGUUCUGACGGUACCCAAAGAAUAAGCACCGGCUAACUUCGU
rnacentral:rRNA from 1 species